GACGAACGCUGGCGGCGUGCUUAACACAUGCAAGUCGAACGGAAAGGCCCUGCUUGCAGGGUGCUCGAGUGGCGAACGGGUGAGUAACACGUGGGUGAUCUGCCCCUUACUUUGGGAUAAGCCUGGGAAACUGGGUCUAAUACAGGAUAGGACCAUGCUGUAGGUGGUGUGGUGGAAAGAUUAGUUUCGGUAAGGGAUGAGCUCGCGGCCUAUCAGCUUGUUGGUGGGGUAAUGGCCUACCAAGGCGUCGACGGGUAGCCGGCCUGAGAGGGUGGACGGCCACAUUGGGACUGAGAUACGGCCCAGACUCCUACGGGAGGCAGCAGUGGGGAAUAUUGCACAAUGGGCGCAAGCCUGAUGCAGCGACGCCGCGUGGGGGAUGACGGCCUUCGGGUUGUAAACUCCUUUCAGCCAUGACGAAGCCCUUGUGGUGACGGUAGUGGUAGAAGAAGCACCGGCUAACUACGUG
rnacentral:rRNA from 1 species